AUAUACCAGUAAAUCACUGUGGCUUGCAGGAGAGCUUGUUUUGCGAAUUCCAGUGUAACCCGGAGCAGAGAUUUCAGACUGACAGCCUUGUGCUAUGGAACAGCAUGCCUGUUGAGAUAUAACAGGUGUCUCCUCUCUGCACUUUCUGGGAACAUCUGAAGACAUUUCUGCAAGCAUUCCCAGCUGGAUGAAUGCCUCCCUGGGUAUCUGUUUUGAAUUUUCUUAAUUAUUUAUCUGAUGUCAUUUUCUGUAGCUUUUAACUGUCCAUUAGCUGUUUUACUGAGGUUUCUGCAUCACCUCGAGGCAUAUGUGUGGAAGGCAAUAAAUAUAUUAAGCACACACAUUGCUAUGUGUCUGCCUGAAGACCAGGAGAUUAAGAUCAUGGGCAAAAAAAAAGAGCUUUAAGCUGAGUUUGUGAAUUGGCUAUGCCCUGACUGCAAGGACUAUUCAGGAUCUACAGCAGAGGGUCUUUCCCAAUUGGGAGAUAUUGUAUCCCACUUGGGGUUGCUAAGUUGGAUGAGGCUGUUUGUUCCCUUGCCUCCAGGUAACAUUCAGAGGCUGGCUAAUUUGGCAGCGUCUGCUGGUGCUGGGCAGUAGCUUGCUGGGAGUCCGUGAGUAUGUACAGUUCUGGCCCACCCUAAAAAGUGACUUGGACGGAACUCGAUCUGCAACUUUUGAACACCUUUGCCUUGCCUUCUGUAAGCCCAGUGUCCAGUUCCAAUUUAUAGAGGCUCUCAAAGGCUACUAGCCACAACAGCUAAGUUCUACCUCCACCAACAGAGGCAGUAUGUCUCUGAAUGCCCCUGGCUGGGAGGAAUCAAAAGCAGAAGGAGGGCUGUUGAGUUCAUGUCCUGCAUUUGCUUGGCCGCUGUGAGAACAGGAUGCUGUACCAGAUGGCUAAACCUGAUCCAACAGCCAGAUUUUUCUUAUGUUCUUCUGAGUAACAGUAAAGGAGCACUUUUGCCUUCAUGCCCCACCUGUAAGUUUCCUGGGGCCGUCGGAAGGGCCACUGUGGGAUACAGGAUACUGAUCCAGCAGAGCUGCUCUAAUCUUCUCUUUCAUGCACCCUCACCUGGAAAACAGGGGUCAGUGAGAGUCUCUAAACCCCCUACCCUGCAGGAACAGGAGUAGAACAGUCUCCCAUUCAUCCAGUUCUCUUCAGUAUUGUCUGCACUGACUGGCAGCAGCUCUCCAGGGUUUCAGGCAUGGGACCUUCCCAGCCCCACCAGGAGAUGUGGCAGAUCAAACCUGUGACCUUCUGUAUGUUCUACCAAUGAGCUACUGCCCUUCUCCCACUUGCAUGUUGGAAAGAUUCAGAACAGGUAAAAGGGAGGAUUUCCUCCCACCGUGCCUAAUUAAACUAUGGAACUCCCUCCCACAGUAGGCAGGGAUGGCCACCAGCUUGGACAGCUUUGAAAGAGGAUCAGACAGAUUCACAGAAGAGAGGGCUAUUGAUGGCUACUAGCUAUGAUGGUUAUGAUCUGCCUCCACAGCAAUGCUUCUGAAUACCAGUUGCUGGAAACUGUAAGCAUGGGGAGUGCUCUUGUGUUCAGGUCUUUCUCGAGGGUUUCCUAUUGGGGGCAUCUAGUUGGCUACUUUGAGAACACGAUUCUGGACGGGAUGGGCCACUGGGCUGAUCCAUCAGGCUCUCCUCAUGUUCUGACAUUUGCAAAUAUUAAACAGUAAGUCUGGGGAGAGUUGUGAUGUUCUUGAUGGUUCAUUAAGACCUUCACCUUCCUGCCAGACUCCUCAUUUCUCAAUCAGGCUGAGUCGGGUGUUUUGAGUGCAAGGCUGAUAUUUCUUUUUAUAGCUGCGGUAAUUAAAUCAUUUCGUUAGCAGCAGGCUUAAGGCAGGGAGCUGUUCUCCUACACAUUCCACUGCGCUGGGUCUCCAGAGCAGACUUGGGAAUGCUGGAAAGUUGUCGUGAUUUCCUGUUAGAAACAGCUGGUUGGCGGUGGGGAUGUGGGUACUCUAUUAUUUUUCUCACAACGAUUUUCACAGGCGGUGGGAACGCCAAAUAUACGUUGGUUUCUAUAGUCCUAUGAACACGUAGCUGGGAAAUUAAAGACUUAUCUCAGAGUGAACUGUGCUGUUAAAUCAACUCAAGGCCAAGCUGUCAUGCACGUUCCUCGUUAAAAUAAUUAUCUUGGGGACUUUUUCUUGUUGAACUAUUUUUCUUAGCUCAGUGAUAGAGCAUCUGCCUUGUAUGUAGAAGAUCCCAGGUUUGAACUCCAAUGGCAUCUCCAGAAAGGGCUGGGAAAGACUGCUUGCCUGAAACCUUGGAGACUCACUGCCAGUCAGUGUCAACAAUACUGAGCUGAUAUAAAGCAGCCCCUUGUGUUUCCACUUACCCUUAAUUAGAAUCAUGUGGACUAGUACCUUCAUUUUCUUUUAAAGCAGUAGGAUCAUAGCUCACAGGCAGAGAACAUGAUUUGCAUGCAGAUAGUCCCAGGUUCAAGACUCAACAUCUCCAGAUAAAACUGGGAAUGUCUCCUGCCUGUAACCCUGGAGAACCGCUGUCAAUCAUUGCAGACAAUCCUGAGCUGACUGGAUCAGUGGUCCGACUCUGUAUAAGGCAGGGUUCCUAGGUUCCUGUGCUCUCCUUUAACCAAGGGCACCUUGAGACAACCUAUUUACUGAGCAUUCUAUGAAGGGUGAGUAGAUGACGCUGGCUUGUAUAACAAGCAUUCACUCUGAUUUGCUUCACUAGAACUAAUGCACAUCCAAUGAAAGCUGAAUGCUGGAAGAUUCUGGGCAGAUAAAAGGAAGGACUUGUUCAUGCAGUGCAUAGUUAAACUGUGGAACUCACCUCCACAAGAAAUAGCCACCAACCUUUAAAAGAGGAUUAGACAAAUUCAUGGAGGAGAGGUCCAUCAAUGGCUACUAGCCAUGAUAGUUAUGCUCUGCAUACACUCUUUGAGUUGGGGUGGGUUUCCCUAAGAGCUCCAAAUCUAUUUCCAUGGCUCAACCUGGAUUCACAAGUAUGUGACUUAAUCUCACCCCCCAAAUAGUGACCGUCUGGAAGCUUCCUCCAUCAGAGGUGCAAAGGAGCCCAAUUCUCAUAAUGAAGACUGCAGAACUGUGAGGUUUAUAUCUUCACUGCCCCCCUGAGGUUAGAAUGGAGACAUACACACCUGCCUCCAGCAUAGCUGGAAGUCUUUUUUAAUUCUUAAUGUCCCAGUUGGCACUUGCUAAUUACUUAAUAACUUAAAAACGUGCGAGCUGCUGCCAGUCAGUGUAGACAAUACUGAGCUAAAUGGCUCAAUGGUAUGACUUGGGAUUAAGGCAUCUUCUCUUGUGUACUAAGGGAAGUGCUAAGGCUCAUAGUCCCUCUAUGGAUCUAACCAUCAGGAAACUGAAGUUUAAUAGUAGAAAAGUAAGAUCAGUAGAAAUUCACUCAGGCCCAAAUAAUGACAACAUAAACAAACUUAAAAUUCCCAAUUUCCCUGGCAGAUCACAAUGCUCCUCUUUAAAAUGGGGGAGGGGUGGCGUUCCUCUUUUAGU